rnacentral:lncRNA from 1 species
CAGGGCUAUUGUGGAAAACUUGAAAUGUCUGACUGUUAAAGUAUUUCUGAUUUGUGUGUGUAUGGAUUCAGAUGCUGGGUUGGAAUUUACAGGUUAAGGACUAAAACCUUACUUGACCGCUAUGAUUUCCUGCAAGAUUAUUUGAAGAAAAAUAUAAAGUUUUUUUUCACUUUUGUCUUACUUUUCCAGGACAGACCUACUUGUUUUGGCAGAAUUCAGAGGGCUAGAAAACUUUUCAGAAAACUAAAACUUUUUGUUUUGAAAAAUGUUACUGUGGUCCUUCUCUGACAUUGUCAUUUGGACGCCUGCUGGUCCUGUUCUGCAAAGUUGAGGCUGCCUGCCAUCUUUGAUACUGUGCCAUGAUCUCCCCUCUUCGCAGGGAGUAGAGGAAGUAGGGAAUCCUUCAAAGUGAUCAGCUGUUGAGGUUGUCAUUUAAAUGGCGAGUCCAGUUGAUAGAGGAGGAGAUCUGCCACGUGAACCAGUGAUAAGAAUUUGCUACAACCAUGCCUUAAAUAUAAUGGUGAACCUUUUUGGGUAUUCUUCCAAAGCCAGUGGACAGAGUGUAAGUGUAAGAUGCCUGCAGAGUUCACUCAACUUUGUAUUAAGGCGAGAAGAGAAAACAUGGCUAAUACUGAAAUUCAAGGAGGAAAACUGUUAAUAUGACUUGCAUUAGUUUUAGGAUGUGUUAUGUUCCAUUAUUAGUUCAAUAUUUGAAUGCAGACUAGCCAGAAUCCAUCAGGAGCUGGCAACGUGUGGUGUUCUUGAGCGAAAGCUGAUUGUUAUUUUUUUAUUGCUUGUUUUUUUUUAAGUAAAAGUUGAUUGUAAUUUUUUGUUGCAUGUUUUGCAUCUUACCCUCUUACAGAAAUAUCUUUCUAGAUAUUUUUAACUUUGUUUUCAUGGCAACAUAAUUUAGAUCCCUUCAUGACUGCUGAGCAUUAUUCCACUUUUUGGCCCUUCAUAGGCAUUAAUGAUGAAAUCUGCAAAUGAGCACAUGCUUAGUUUUGUAAGACUGCA